rnacentral:lncRNA from 1 species
GCCCCAUUCAUGCUGGGAUGAGCUCACUGUGUAAUCUGAGCCUCACUGUAACACUGCAAUGGGAUACCAGCUGCAGCGGCUGCCAUGGCAGGGCUGGUCCCACCGGAGGAGGCACCCUGGCACCCCUGACUCCCAGGAUGAGUCCCAGGGAACACCAGGGUGGAGUCAGGGGCAGGGAGACUCUUGGGGACUCUGAGGGAGCCACAGCCCAGGGAGACCUCCCAAGAAGACCUCCCAAGAAUCAAGCCCAGCCUGUGGACCUGGGGUGCUGAUGUUUUCUGUAUCUUGGUUUGGAAUGAAUCUGGUACACGGCUCCUGAGUCAAGAGGUCAAGAAGACACGUGGUUUUAUGAUGCAACAAUGGGCAGCCACUCUGUUUUGUUUUGGGAACCUCAGUGACAUCACAGACUAACCCUUGUACCUUGGGACCUUGUAUGUAAGAAAACAUUGAGUCAGAAGAGAGCGUUAGUCAUAGGGCUACUGAAACACAAGGUGACGAGAACUAUUAGGCAAUUGAGUGCAUUCCCUGCAGGGCUGCUCCCACUUCUAUCUGACUUGGGUCUAGAUGACUCAAGUGAUUCCCGAGGGGAAAAUAAUCUAUGUGGAACAGCUGUCAUGAGCAGGCCUUCUGCUGCUCUUCAGCCUCAAUUUCAGCCUGCUACUUCCCGUGACAUCAUUCAGUGAUUCCUCCCUUUAAGGGGACAGUUUUCUCUUGUAUUACAGGUGACUACUUGAAGGUGGCUAGACGAGAGCAUACUGCCACCACUCUUUAUUUGGAGGCCUGUAACCUGUCUUGAGUGUGUUGCAGGAAGACUCAGUUACAGUGUUCCCUGAAUAUGUAGCUUUCCAUUACAAUAGUAUGCAAGCCAAGAUGAAACCACCUCUGUUUGGGUUUCAGCAGCUGUCUGCCUACGGAAGGCUCCAGAGUCCCUGACGCAUAUUUAUAUCUCCACUUCACUGAAGUCACAAGGAACAAACACACACCUGCCAUUUCCCAAAUCUCAUAAAACAUAUAAAUGGAUGAGACCAAAGAGAGGCAUGAGAUUCCAUUCUUAUGGUUCACAGGAAGCACCUGGCACACAGUAACUAUUAUUAAUUUCUGCACUGGAGGCAUCAGGAAAGCCUUCACGCUAUAGGGGGCCCUUUUAAGUUAAGAAGUUGGAGAGCAAGCCUCGGGGAAAGCAAAGAGAUAACUUAGUAGAAUGGAGCAACCAUACGGGAACAGUGAGAGUCCAUGGAUCUCCCUGGGCUAAGAUCAUGUAUGGAUUUGGCAAUCUGGGGUGGAAGCCACAUGUGCUGUUAUUAAGUGGAAAUGUCUCGUGAACAUGUGGAAAGUGAUGACUGGAACUUCAGAUGAAAGUCAAAGCUGGAGAUAGGAGAUUCAGAAGUCACCCCACCAAAGAAGGAAUGGUUAAAGCUAUAAGAACUAAUGAGAUCCUAUUUAUUUGCUUAUUCAAUCAACAUAUGUAGAACUAAAUGCUAAGAAUGUAAUGAUAAAUAAGACAGAAAGGGACCUUGCCCAUAUGGUAUUUACAAUCUACUGCCAGUUCAUAAUCUCCUAAAAAAUAAUGUAGAGAACAAUAACAGAAUCAAAGAAAUCUUGAACGUCUAUAUUUAAGGGGUUGAAUGUAAAAGAAAAGGCCUUAAAGGAGGCAGAAAAAUAGCAAUGAGAAAAGUUUGGGAAUUCUAAAACAAGACAGUAUUUCAGAGGAAGAAAACGCAGGUAAUACAUGGGCAAGUUUCACACACAGAGGUGAUGCAUCCUGGUGACCAAUAUUACAAGGAAGAGAGAUGAUGACUGAGGACAGGCUGGUGGACUUGAUUUGAGGUCAACGGUAUGAGGAUAAUUUCAGCAGAGUGGUGGGAUGGAGCGAAACAGCAGGUGUGUCAAUAAUGAGUUAAGCUUUGAGAAAGGGGAGACUUCAGAUGCAGACAACUCAUUCCUGAAUCUGUGCUUCAAAAACAAGAAAAAGCCCAAGAUGUCAGGAUAUCUGCAGGGUCAAGCAAAGCAUUUUUUUCACGAUGGUAAUAGGUAAAAGAGAUUUCUCUAGCCCGCUGGUCUAAGGAUCAGACAGAGGGUGGAGGUGCUUGAUAAGGAUGGUCAUGGCAUUUUUUGCAGACUGAAAUGAUAUUUGAAAACUAAAUGCUAGCCUGUGUUACAGCUACUUACCCGCUGAGGAUCAAACGUACAUUUAUUUGCCCUAUUGCCCAACUUAUGGCUAUGCCAGUAAUGUCCUCUUUUUUUCCUUAUCAUUUCUUUUCAGCUUGUUUUCCCAAACUGUGGUGUUGCCUUGCCCUUGAGAACCCAGCUGAGGUCUAGACUGUUUCAUGGAUCACCUAAGCUUGGAGCUACAGUUGGGCUGCAAAGUUGUUCCUCUAGUGCUGAUACAAGAACAUAGCUGGUCCUCUUGUUCAUAGUGGUAAAAUAUUUUUAAAAUCUGACAUAAACACAACAUAUUAAUUACAGAAAUGAUGGAGAGAGAAUAAAGCUGGGACCCCACAAAGUCAUCUUUGCAGAGUUAUUCUGCUGACUCAAACCACACUUUAACUGAUGACAUCCUAGCAUCGAUCUGAAGUACAUUACUUUAAAAACAGAAGCUGUUUCUGAAAUAAGAUCUGCUAAAGUAAGAAGCCAGCUAGAAAAACACAGAUUUUAAGUCACUGAGGUUAUUGGUUCGAAACAGUUUACUUGGCACAUACAGAUCUUUGAGUUUUUCUAAAACUCUUUCCUGAUUUUUGGCAUUUAUUUGGCUUGGAAGGUUCUGGCGAGGCAAAUGAGAAAGGUGAGCAGAAAGGACUGGUGCAAUCAAUCAUCCUAUACCAGGCACACCCAGUGAUAUUAAAAGCUCAAUGACAUGGGACCUCACCAAUGUCUCACUAACUUAAGAGCGUUUGGGAGGCCUGGGCAAUUGUUGGCUGCGGCACAAGCUCUCUCAGCAGGCAUCGACAGCACAAACUACCAGGCGGACUACUGCCUUUCCUUCUGGACUGCACACAUUGAAAUGUCAAUGAAAUUGAAUGAAAUACCUGCUGACAGCGUUUACUGUUCAGACUUAUUGCUGCAAUAAUACUAGGGAUAGGGUGGGGGUAAGAAGUUACCGAAUUUGAGCAAAAACAAACCUGGUUUUACACUCACAGUUGUAGCUGUUCCAGCUACACUGAAUGUGCAUGUGAAAUCAGAAGAGAUCAUGUGAUGAACAUUCCAUUCUUGGCAAUAUAAUAUUUCCAAAAAAUGCAACUUAAAAGAACUGCUAUCUUGAAAGAGCUUCUAUCUCAGGUGCUAGCACCAGAAACAAAUGCCCUUCAUCCUCUGAAAGCAUAUGAGAACACAUUCCGCCAUACCUCACCUCCAGCUGAGCCCAGUCACUAGCAGAAGUGCAAGCCUCUCCAGCCAUCUGUUAAUACCAGAACACUCAUUCCCAAACUGUUCCUGGACAUAAUCUGAUCAGACACAAUCCCCCGGAACUCUUUCCCUCCUGCACCCUUCCACUGUGUCCUCUGGAUUUCCCAUUCAAAGAUGAGCAAACUCACCUAUAUCUUCAGUCUCAAUGAGCUCUGAAGGUUCUCUCUGCUUCCUCAUCCUAAUUGAAAUCUGGCUAUCUCUGGAAGACUGCAAAUUCCCUGAAACCCUCUCAGGUGGAAGGUGAUCAUGGCUCUCCAUCCAGUGGCUCACAGAGCCAGGUGAUAGAGUAUUCUCCUUACUCCUCAAUAACACUUUCAAAUCAUUAUUCUGAAGCAGAGAAUAAAAAUCCCUGUUCCUCUGAGCUCAUGCCAUUGAAUCAUCCCUUUUUCUCC